AGAUUCCUAGGAAAUACGGAGGAAGCAGACUUUCAGGAACCACUGAAGGUCAUCGGCUUCCAACAUUUCUGACUAAGAACUGCAUAGGAAGUGCUUCCUCUGUUGUCUAUUAAUUAGAAAGGGAGAAUAAAGUCUAUCGACGUGUGCCAGCAAGUGGUUUGUGUGGAGCAGACGUUCGCUGGAGCUGCAGAGCUUGAUGUGAAUGGACCAGCUCUCUGCAACACAGAAGGAAAUCAACCCACAGAACAGUAGGAAAAUGAAUAUGGAAAUACCAGUAUGAAAGAAAUCAGGAAACCUGUUUAUCUGCCGUGUUCUGCCAAAUGAACAAUCAGAAAAUGUGUUUUUUUUUCUCCUCAUGGCUUUUUCAGUUGCAAGAAUUUAGGCAAAGUGAGAGUCUUAACCAGUGAUUAAGAAAUAAUGAUGUUAACGAAACAAGUCUGAAAAUUUUCAUCUUUUUCAUCAUCUCCUUUGAAGGUUUACAUAAAAGAAGGCAAGCCCAGUGGCAGUGGAUGAAAACAGCAGUGACUGAGCACGGAGUCGCGCUGCAAGGCUUGAGCAAGCUCUCUCAAAGAAGCUGAACACCUCCUGCAUGGGAGAACCUAUGGCAGAGGAAUUUUAAACAAGCAACCAACAUCAUGGAGGCAUCUGAACUCUCAUCUCCACCACUGAGAAAGAACCACCUUGCUUCCCUCAAAGCUGUACUGGAGGCCACCAGGUUAAUUCCAUGCUAUAUGCAUGGAUGAAAAGGAGGAUAAGAAGAAAGAGCAGGUCAUGAAGUGGCAAAGGUAUACGUGGAAUACAAAGGAAGAAAGUAAAAUAUGCAUUUGAUGUACAUGUGCACAUGCCAGAUUUACAAUCAACCCAAGGAGGACUGCCUUUUUCCCAGGAACUGAACACAACACCUGAAAACCAACAACUGCACCACUACCUCAGAAGAAUGCAAUGUGUGUUUUAUACCAAAGUCAUAUUAUUUUCCCUGUAACAAGUACAGAAGCAGCUUUAUUUGCAUUACUCACUCGCAGAUCUAGAGAAGAGAACACUGAAAUGCUAGAAAGACUUCUGAGAAGACGAAAGAGGAAGACAGUCGGUGUGUUCUGGCACGGAAAGAGGCUCUUCAACUUGUCUACAAGAAGCAUCUCUAUUUGGAAGACGACUAUAGACCAGUCGUGAGUGCACUUGCUGCUUCCACCAAGUGAAUAUCAAACCUGAGAAAAUGUGUAUCUGUGACCUCCCUAAGAGUUUUGGACAGUUACCCAUUUGCUGCUACCUCUCUGAGUUUUCUACUGACUACUUAAGCUGAAUUUCCAUCUGGAAUCAGACGAGUGCUUCAAGUUUCGUGUACCUGAUGGCAGCCAGUACUUGAUGUUGGAGGGAAAUCUGCAAUGAAAGUCUUCUGCCAAGAUCUCCAUUAGGAGGUUUGUGUUUCCUCCCAACAUUAAAGAAUAUCUCUAACAUCUGUAGCAAUGAACGGUGAGGAGUGUCAGUUCUGCUUCUGAAACAAGCAAUGCCACCAUUUGAAGGAGGAAAAAUGUGGAAUAAUGAAUAUGCCUUCUGCGAGCAGUCUGUUGUGUAACAGAAGAUGUGCAAAGCCUCUUGCUGGGUUUGUUUUCCUGAGUUUGUUCUAUACACCUCUAAAGAGUGCAGUCAAUUAUGCAAAAUUUGGUCAGUGGGAAAAGUAUUGCCCAGAGAGGCUAAACCCAAAUAUAAAGUGCCAGAGAGCACAAAGCAAGAAUGCUGGUUGAUGUGUCCUUAGGUAUCAGGAAGGAGAGAAACCCAUCACAUUAAAACAGAGAGCCAAUCCCUGCCUAACUGCAGCAGCCAUGACUUGAAAGAACACCUUUUUUUUUUUUUUUUUUUUUUCUUUUUUACCAUGAAUAUUCCCAGAAAAAAAUGGAGAGAGAGAAAGAGGAAGGUUGUGUUUGCUGGGGAUUCAGGAGGUUCAUGUUCCCUGUUCUUUUCCACAGUUGCUUUCUGUGUUACUUCGGUCCCUCUGUGCUUCAUUUCCCCAUCAGUGGACGAAAACAACAUCAUUUUCUGAUGUUUUAAUAGCCAUCAAUAAACAGGUGGAUAUAUUAAUGAUUGCAAAGUGCUCAGACAUUAUAAUAAAAGGGAGGUAUGUACAACUAUUGGUGAGUAAUAAAAAUAAUGUCUGCAGGAACUUUACUGGAACCACAGAACAGAGGGCUACAGAUCCUGUUAUAAUCCGAUGGGCAAUAUUUUAUCAUUGUAAAUAUCUUUUAAAAGAAAGUCCCCAUGUCUAAUCUAUAACCAAGAAAUGUAAUAGGAUCUGCAGAAUUUACGAAGCAAGGACUAUUCACAAAUACUUCCGAGCAAAGUGACCUCACCCGAUUUCAAGAAAAAAAUGCAAACAAUUCAUGCUAGGUGUUUUCAACUGUGUAAACAAUGCCUAACAUUCUGAGACAAAGCCAAGAGCUCCUCACUUUUUCUAAAAUUGCACAGGUCUUUUUUGGCAUAAAGUUUUAUACAAAUAUUUCAGGUUUUCCCAAAUUUUAUGUGGAAAAUUUCUUGCAAUCAUGCAUGGAAACGUAUCUUAAUCUAGUUGAGAGGUCCCAACACUUCUGCAAGUAACAAUGAAAACAGACUUUAGUGACAUUCUAGCUUUAAAAUAACUAAAAUUAUAAAACAAAUUUUUGACAAAGUUUCCAAAAUCUUUGGGUGCACUUUAAUCUCAGAAUUAUAUUACCCAGCUGUACUUCCAUGUGCAAGUGUGUAAUUCAUAAAGAUAUAGGGGUAUUCAAAGGAUUAUAUUUGCCAAAAUUUUUUAGAACCUGAUUCCUAAUCCUCAUGUGUCAAAGACAAAGACUGAAAACCUCAAUGGUUAAAAAGAAAGAUAAUAUACUGCUUGCUACUCAACCUGAACUACAAUGGAAGGGGGAAAAAUCAGUGUUAAUCUUGCUAGUCAAACCUUAAUCAAUUUUAUAUUUUGCUUAGCUUUUCCUUUUUCAGCAUGUAUAUAAUUUUAUAUAUAAUAUAUGCAUGGUUUUACAUUUAUUAUCUGUAUGCGUGCUCACCCCAAAACAUUAAUUCAUCCUUAAUUUUUUUGGUUAAAGUUACACCCUUAAUGUUAUUUUAACAUAGGGCUUUUUUGUAAUGUAAUGAUAUUUAAUUUGCAUUAGCACAAGUGACAUACAAUAGAUCAUGCUAUUAUCAUGAUUGAUAUCAGAUGAACUGGCAUAAAUUCAACAUUAUAAAUUGAGCCUAUAAAUGAAACUAUUAUUUUACAGGAAUUACUGUAGUAGAAAGGCUAAGGACCCUCAAGUCAACCUUAGUCAAACCCACUCUUUAGAGUUUUAUAUUUUAUGCCUGCAAUAAAUGCUUUUGUGAAAGCCCAUAACCUGAAAAAAAAAAAAGUCAUUGGAAGUCUAUUAAUUAUAAUAAUACUAUCCAAAAAGCUGUGAGGGCUUAUUUUUGUGACAUCACUCUUUGAUUUCUUACUGCCUUAAAUUAUCCCUUUGUUGGCUGGGUGAGGGUAACAGUCAUACUUUUGUCAUUAAAUAUAAGGAGUUUUAAAGCCUGAUCCACCUUAGCUCUAAUUGAUAUUGCUUUCAUUUGGCAGAUAGUGACCUGAUUUAUAAUUUAAAUAUGCAUCAUUAUAUGCACCUCUUCUGUAUAAUGAAAAAGCGAAGUUACUCUCAUCUUUUCCUGCAAUGUUAACAUCAAGGAAAAGUAUCUUUCUUUUUUCCCUUUUAUACUCGGAGCCUAAUUGAAAACUGUUCAUUGAAUUUCAACAUGAUAGAAAAGUCUUUUUAUCUCUCAAUUUGUCCAUUAGCUAUUAUAAUUGAAGUAUCUGCUACACAGCUGAAUUGAUAUUGUUCUUGUUUAAAUUCUGGAUUUCUCUAAAUCUUCUAUGAGGCAUCAACUAAAAAAAUAUGGGUUAGGAGACAUUAGCUAACAAUAUUGCCUAAAUGGGACAUUAGACUAGCACUCCACAUGUGUAAAGCUACAGAAAGUAGGAAGUCAUCUAAUUUUACUGGAGAACGUGUUGCAUAAUAAUCUUAACAGCAUGACCAUAAGGUUUGCUAAUUGCCACAUCUGUUUAACAGCUGUCAGAUGUUUGCCAUAUGCUGCCAUCAAUAUUACAACAGAGUACAUUACAGGGAGUUUUAUUGUGUUCGACUGUUAUUUAUUUGCCACAGACAUUACUACAGCCAGUGACGUCUAUUUAUGUUAGAUCACUAAUUAUAUUUUAAAAGCUGCACGCAAAAUCCAUGUUUUUCAGCUUCCUUAGACCCUAUUUCUGAUGAUGUAACUAAUAUUUUUUCCUUACAGAUCUCUGAACUGAUUUAUAAAUUUCUCUCUUCUUAUGGUAAAUAAUUCUUCAGUAAAAUAACUUAUUUAUGCUGUUUUUGAAGGGUGUUUGUUUCUAAAUCCAAGUUAUGUUUUAAUGGUGAUGUUUGUAAGAACUCAAAAAUGAAUUUCUUUUUCAAAGAGCCCACUUCAUCCCAUGCUUUUUUCACCAGUACACAGGUCAGGGAUGAAAGACAAUUCAGUGCUUACAGCUCAGGAGUCUGGGUACCCUAACUCUAGACCCAAUCCCACCAUGGACUCAUUAUAUGAUUUUGAGUCAUCAUACAACUUUAAUUCUGGUUUGUCUGUCUGUAAGCUAAAUACCUGCUGUACAGCUGUAACAUCAGAACUCAUCCAUUAGAUGUCUAAAAAGUAAAAGGUGAUAAAGGAGUAUUACCACGAAAGCAUAAAAAUAGGGUUGAUCUUCACUGUUCUUUUAAACACUCUUUCAUGUUUUUUUUAAAUGACCUUUCAACUGGUCCGUGCAUUACUUUUUUGUUACAUGUAGCUGCUACAGCAAUGAAAUAGGAAGCAGAGAUUGACAAAGUGCAGACUAGGCAAAAUAUGCAUGAUGUGAUUUAAUAUGAGUUGAUAGGUGUCACUGAUCUCUAUUAUAAAUAGACUGUGUGAAUUCCAUAUGAUGUAUUAUUUAUCUAUUGUAGAUGCCUUUUUGUUUCAUUAAUAAAGCUGGAAAUCAGACGUAUACAUUUCCAAUGAUGAGUUUUUGGCAAUAAAAGGCAUUGUGGUAUUUGUCUGCAAUUGCUCAAUUAUUUUGAUGAUUUUCUGCUUAUUUAUGUAUAAAUGAUUAAUGCUUGAGAUGUUUGUUCAAGAUUAUUCUGAUUUUAGCUCAUUUGUCCAGCUGAAUUCUUUUUUUCUUCUCUAGUGAAAGAAGAUUAUUGUAGUGUAAGAACUUCCACUUUGACCUGAAUUAUAGCUCCUUUGAAACGUUGCACCAGAGUACGCAAUGUAGGUCCUCUUACUUAAGUUUGUGAGAUCGGAUAACUCCAACAAAUCUCACAUUAACGAGUUUUCAGUUUAAAUCUGCUUCAAAGCAGAAACUCUUAUACUCUUGUUCUACCUACAGUUAAAAAUGUUCCCCUGGUAUGUCUGUGCUUGAGAAAGUUAAGAACAUACAAUGCUGCUUAUAUAAGUAGGAAAGAAGACAAAGUUUCCAAAAUUCUGAAGGGAGCAGUAAGCAGCAGCUAGCGCCUUCUGUUUACUCUUUCUAAAGAUGCGAAAGCAAAGAUAUCCUUGAAGACAUUAAAGGGCAAAGAGUUUAAAAUAAAAGGCAAAACUGCGGGUUAUAACUGUGGGAGCCACAUUAUCAAGCCUCCAAGCCCUCUGAGAUGGGCGAGGAUGAUGGGGGUUCACUGAAGGAGGGCAAUGGGGCUGUGUGCUCAGCAAGCAUAUGCCUUGAGGAGAAGUAGGUGCUCAGUUCCCAUGAGAAAUCAAACUGCCUUACAAGAACGCCUCCAUCAGUAAUCUAAAAUUUGUCUGCCUUCUGCAUUUGAUCUCCUUAUUUUCUUCUUAUAUGCCUUUUUAAUGCUGUUUGUAGCCAUUUCAAUUAUGUGAUUUCCUUAUCUGUAUACCAUAGAGAAUACUGUACAAGACUUUAUAAACAGCUACUAAGUUUAUCUGCCUGUCAUUUGGUUUUCAUUAUGCGAGAUAACAAUCUUUCUCAUAUCUUAUAAGAAGAUAUAAUGUGAUUGUUUCUAAACGGGAAG